rnacentral:rRNA from 1 species
AUUGAACGCUGGCGGCAGGCCUAACACAUGCAAGUCGAGCGAGCGGCGGACGGGAGAGAUAUGUCUGGGAAACUGCCUGAUGGAGGGGGAUAACUACCGGAAACGGUAGCUAAUACCGCAUACCAUCAGAUGUGCCCAGAUGGGAUUAGCUAGUAGGUGGGGGAAUGGCUCACCGAGGCGACGAUCCCGAGCUGGUGUGAGAGGAUGACCAGCCACACUGGAACUGAGACACGUUCCAGACUCCUACGGUAGGCAGCAGUGGGGAAUAUUGCACAAUGGGCGCAAGCCUGAUGCAGCCAUGCCGCGUGUGUGAAGAAGGCCUUCGGGUUGUAAAGCACUUUCAGCGAGGAGGCGUUACUCGCAGAAGAAGCACCGGCUAACUCCGUGCCAGCCGCCGCGGUAAUUC